rnacentral:rRNA from 1 species
CAGCACCUCAAGUGGUCAGGAUGAUUAUUGGGCCUAAAGCAUCCGUAGCCGGCGCUGUAAGUUUUCGGUUAAAUCUGUACGCUCAACGUACAGGCUGCCGGGAAUACUGCAGCGCUAGGGAGUGGGAGAGGUAGACGGUACUCGGUAGGAAGGGGUAAAAUCCUUUGAUCUAUUGAUGACCACCUGUGGCGAGGGCGGUCUACCAGAACACGUCCGACGGUGAGGGAUGAAAGCUGGGGGAGCAAACCGGAUUAGAUACCCGCGUAGUCC